UACGUAGGGGGCAAGCGUUGUCCGGAAUUAUUGGGCGUAAAGCGCGCGCAGGCGGUUCUUUAAGUCUGGUGUCUAAGUGCGGGGCUCAACCCCGUGAUGCACUGGAAACUGGGGAACUUGAGUGCAGAAGAGGAGAGCGGAAUUCCACGUGUAGCGGUGAAAUGCGUAGAUAUGUGGAGGAACACCAGUGGCGAAGGCGGCUCUCUGGACUGUAACUGACGCUGAGGCGCGAAAGCUAGGGGAGCGAACGGG
rnacentral:rRNA from 1 species